ACGCUCGACACCUACGUGAGGCAGCAGUGGGGAAUAUUGCACAAUGGGGGAAACCCUGAUGCAGCGACGCCGCGUGAGCGAAGAAGUAUUUCGGUAUGUAAAGCUCUAUCAGCAGAGAAGAAAAUGACGGUACCUGACUAAGAAGCCCCGGCUAACUACGUGCCAGCAGCCGCGGUAAUCUGAGCGGGCUGGCAAGGC
rnacentral:rRNA from 1 species